rnacentral:rRNA from 1 species
UACGUAGGGUGCAAGCGUCGUCCGGAAUUAUUUGGGCGUAAAGAGCUCGUAGGCGGUUUGUCGCGUCUGCUGUGAAAGCCCGGGGCUCAACCCCGGGUCUGCAGUGGGUACGGGCAGACUAGAGUGCAGUAGGGGAGACUGGAAUUCCUGGUGUAGCGGUGAAAUGCGCAGAUAUCAGGAGGAACACCGAUGGCGAAGGCAGGUCUCUGGGCCGAUACUGACGUGAGGAGCGAAAGCGUGGGGAGCGAACAGG